rnacentral:rRNA from 1 species
ACGGAGGAUGCAAGCGUUAUCCGGAAUGAUUGGGCGUAAAGGGUCCGCAGGUGGAACUGAAAGUCUGCUGUUAAAGAAUCUGGCUCAACCAGAUAAAAGCAGUGGAAACUACAGAACUAGAGUACGGUAGGGGCAGAAGGAAUUCCUGGUGUAGCGGUGAAAUGCGUAGAUAUCAGGAAGAACACCGGUGGCGAAAGCGUUCUGCUAGACCGAGACUGACACUGAGGGACGAAAGCUAGGGGAGCGAAUGGG